rnacentral:rRNA from 1 species
UACGGAGGGUGCGAGCGUUAUCCGGAAUUAUUGGGCGUAAAGAGCUCGUAGGCGGUGUGUCACGUCGGCCGUGAAAACCUGCAGCUUAACUGUGGGCGUGCGGUCGAUACGGGCAUCACUGGAGUUCGGCAGGGGAGACUGGAAUUCCUGGUGUAGCGGCGAAAUGCGCAGAUAUCAGGAGGAACACCGGUGGCGAAGGCGGGUCUCUGGGCCGAUACUGACGCUGAGGAGCGAAAGCGUGGGGAGCAAACAGG